UUGACCAUUCCUGUGACAAUUACACCGGCAGAGAGAAGUUUUUCUAAAUUGAAGCUAUUGAAGUCUUAUAUGCGAACUACUAUGACACAACAAAGACUCAAUGAUUUGGUCACAAUAACACUUGAGAGUGAAUUGUUGGAGAAGAUUGAUUACGAGGAUAUCAUUGAAGAUUUCAUUUCAAAGAAUACUAAAAGAAUGAGGAUGUUCAAAUAA
rnacentral:rRNA from 1 species